GUGUCAGCCGCCGCGGUAAUACCAGCUCUCCGAGUGGUAGGGACGAUUAUUGGGCUUAAAGCGUCCGUAGCCGGCUUAGCAAGUCUCCUGUUAAAUUCAGCGACCUAAUCGUUGAGCCGCGGGAGAUACUACUAGGCUAGGAGGCGGGAGAGGUCGACGGUACUUCCGGGGUAGGGGUGAAAUCCUAUAAUCCCGGGAGGACCACCAGUGGCGAAGGCUGUCGACUAGAACGCGCUCGACGGUGAGGGACGAAAGCUGGGGGAGCGAACCGGAUUAGAUACCCUGGUAGUCCACGCCGUAAACGAUGUCAACUAGCCGUUGGAUUCAUUUAAGAAUUUAGUGGCGCAGCUAACGCGAUAAGUUGACCGCCUGGGGAGUACGGCCGCAAGGUUGAAACUCAAAGGAAUUGACGGGG
rnacentral:rRNA from 1 species